CGCCCCUCCACGCCAGGUUGAUCGGCUCCGGCUCGCCGCCCGCCACCUUACCGCUAGCAGAGCCUUCGCCCGCCGCGUCUGCCGCCUCACCGGCUGCGGCCGGGCCAUGGUGCCGGCGCCCGGGGGAACCCUGCUCGCCGCCUUCCUCGCCGCAGCGCUGGCCGCCGCGGGCAGCUCAAGAGCUCGUGGGCAGCUGGUGACUGUGAGCCAGCCAGGAGUGUGUCGCUAUGGUUCUAGGCUGGAUUGCUGUUAUGGCUGGAAAAAGAACAACAAGGGCCACUGUGAAGCUAUCUGUGGACAUGGCUGCAAGUAUGGUGAAUGCAUGGGACCAAACAAAUGCAAAUGUUUCCCUGGAUUUACAGGAAAAACCUGUAAUCAAGAUCUGAAUGAAUGUGGACUGAAACCACGUCCCUGUGAACACAGAUGCAUGAAUACACAUGGCAGCUACAAGUGCUAUUGUCUGAACGGGUACAUGCUCAUGCCAGAUGGCACAUGUGCAAGCUCUAGGACCUGUGCCAUUGCGAAUUGCCAGUAUGGUUGUGAGGAAGUCAAAGAGGAGGUACACUGUCUUUGUCCAUCAGCUGGCCUCCGUUUGGGACCAAGUGGGAGGACAUGCAUUGAUAUUGAUGAAUGCUCCACUGGCAGAGCUGUCUGCUCUUUCAAUCGCAGAUGUGUCAACACAUUUGGAAGCUACUACUGCAAGUGCCAGCUUGGUUAUGAACUGAAAUACAUCAGUGGCCAUUAUGACUGUGUAGAUGUAAAUGAAUGUGUGACAGCCACACACAGGUGUAACCUCCAUGCAGAGUGCCUCAACACAGAGGGAUCCUUCAAAUGCAAAUGUAAUCAGGGCUACCAAGGAAGUGGAUUUGAUUGUGCUGCUAUCCCUGAAAAAUCAGUGAAGGAAAUUCCAAGAAUCCCUGGAACAGCUAAGGACACAAUAAAGAAACUUCUUGCACAUAAAAACAGCGUGGCAAAGCAUAAAGCAAUCAAGAAUGUGAUCCCAGAAGCAGCCAUGACGCCAGCUUCUAAAACCCACUUGCAGUCACUGGACUAUGAAGGCGGUUUUGAUCGUGGUGGGAGUUACACUGUGGGAGAGAAAAGAACUGAAGUCACCAUAGAAGAGGAACUUGAUGAGACAGAUGAGGAGGAGAAGGAAGAUUAUGAGAAUCAGAUUGACCAUGAGCAAAGCCUUAGAGGAGAUGUCUUCUUUCCCCAGGGUAAAGAAGCAGCUGCCUUUGGCCCUCUCCUGGCACAAAGAAAAGUUGCGAUGACAAGACAAGAGCAUGAAGUUGACUGCAGUUUCAGUCGAGGAGUCUGCGACUGGAAACAAGAUACUAAUGAUGACUUUGACUGGAAUCCUGCUGAUCGAGACAGAGGUGAUGGAUACUACAUGGCUGUUCCAGCCUUUGUGGGUCACAAGAAGGAUAUGGGCCGCUUAAAACUUCUCCUGACCGACCUCAAACCAACGAGCAGCUACUGCUUGAUUUUCAGUUAUCGGCUCGCUGGCGAAAGAGUGGGAAAACUUCGAGUGCUCAUGGCCAACCAAAGAACUGCUCCUGUCUGGGAGCAGGACAAGGGAAAAGAUGAAAGGUGGCGAACUGGAAAAGUGGAAAUAUGGCAGGGUACUGAAACAACUAACAGUAUCACCUUUGAAUCAGAACGUGGGAAGGGCAAAACUGGAGAAAUUGGAGUGGACAAUGUUGUAUUAGUUCCCGGUCUAUGCCCAGAAGACACCUGAGAAUGGAUAUUUUGAGUAUUCUGGAUUUAGCCCUAUUUUCAACUCUUGCCUUGCUAGUAGUGUAUUUUUAAUCUUUUCAUUAUUAAAAAAAUGGAAACAUAAAUUUAAAACCUGUACCUUGAACUUAGUGCAGCAAUGCAAGCGGCAACUGACAGGUGCAAGAUGCAGAGCACACUUUUUAUGAAUUAGAUCUAAUACGUGCUUUGAAUACAGCACUACUAUAUUUUAACACUCAAGGUUAGGGCUUCUGAGGCAUUAAAAUAUGUGUCUAGCUUUUUUACAAAUUCUAUAUGCUUUCAUUCCUUAAAGCCCUUUUCAAGGCUGUUCUUAAGUUGUCUGUUGCAUUUCUACUUCACAAGAACACAAAGCAGUGUUGAAGAGGAUGCUACUGCUUCUGGUGAUGUGAUUUUAACUUCUUACUUAAUAUGUAGAUAGUAAAUUUAUUAAAAAAACAAUUAGAAGAAUGAGGAGGUUUUUUUCCUGUCUUCAUGGAGCUAAAUUUUAAGUGGAGUCACAUCUUUGAGGAAUAUUUUAAUUGCUAAUACAAUAUGCAAAAUACCCUCUUUGUCAUCAGUGUCUUUAAGUCACACAAAUCACUGUUUAGGAAUGAUCCACUUUUUUUUUCAUAGGCAUUUAAUAUGCAUCACAUAGAGAUGAUAUUACCAACUGGUAAUGAAAAAAGUAAAGAAAUUUUCACACUCUGUACUGACCUUCAGGAGCAGACAAGUUCCUGCUGGGUUACAGCGCUUCUUUACUGCGCAGAGCCUUGAAACAACCAUUUUCGUUUUCCAGUAGACAGGACGGUUUAGUGGCCUCACAGUAAGGCUCAUUCUUACAUUACACAAUGGGGAAAUAUAAAUCUUUUUUGCCAGUCCCUUCAUGUUCUUCAGACUUCAGCAAAAUGGAUAGAGGCUGCCCGCCUCCCCAGGAAUGGAGAAGGAAGCAGACUCUUCUCGCACAAAGUAGAAGCUGAUAUCUUGCCACUCUCUGCCACACAUGCCUCUGCAGGUACAUGUGUGUAAGGAGGCUCUGGAAUCCAGGUUCCACGUGUACUGAAAAGCUGAAUGAUUGAAGCGUGGGCAAAAGACCAUUUUCUCCUUUGUGAUCUCCUUGGAGAAUGUGUGACAUCUGCAUCUCAAGCAGACCGGGGUGCCUGAAACUGAGAAGAUUGAAGGUCUGUUUUAUUAAAAUUGAAUUCUGUGUCUAGCUGCCUAGGUGAAUUAGGCACUAACACCACCUUCUUGCACAGGAUGCAAGCAAGCGGCAGUCCCUGAAAAUACCAGUCUCUGUAACAAGUUUCUUGGAAACUGACAGAAAGUUAAAGUGGCCCAUGUGGAAUCGCCCAACUGCAUGUUGGCAUCAAAAGAGCUUGGCCAGCACGUCGAGGGAGGUGAUCCUCCUCCUCUGCUCUGUACUGAGCUGGAAGGGCACAGUGAGGUCUCUUCAGAGCCUUCUCUUCUCCAGCUAAACAAGCCCAGUCUCCUCAACCUUUCCUCGUAGGAGAUGCGUUCCAGUCCUCUGAUCAUCUUAGCGGCCCUCCUCUGGACCUGAUAGAAGAGCUCUGCAUAUUUCUUGUGCUGGGGGCUCCAGGCCUUGGAUGCAGUACUCCAGACGGGGCCUCGCAAGAGCUGAGUAGAGGAGGACUACCAUCUCUCUUUCCUUGCUGGCCACCCCUGUUUUAAUGCAGCCCAGAACACAGUUGGCUUUCCAGGCUGCAAGCGCACCCUGCUUGCUCCUAUCCAGUUUCUCGUCACAUAACAUCUCCUGCCAGUGACAGACUGAGGGAUGAACAUAUUGGCCAUUCAGGAUGCACAUGGAAACUCAAGCAGUCGGAAACAAACCUUUAAAACCACUGCAGAAUAUUCUGAUAGAAGCCCUCCACACAACCAGCUUCACCAGUUUGCAGUGCUGGUCUCUGUGCUUUUUGCUGUUGGUCUGUUACUCAAGGAACAUCAUUUCCAUCACAGCAGCCCAUCUUGGGGAGGAAGUCCUUAACCGCUCAGAGCCAUAACUGAUCAUCCUUUGCUUUCUAGAUUUCCAAGAAUAAUGUGAUCGAAUUCUUCCGAGGCAGGAAAUGCUCGAAUCAGAUGUUAGAGUCUGUUCCAUAA